AGUUUGAUCAUGGCUCACAUUGAACGCUGGCGCAAUGCUUUACACAUGCAACUCCAACGGCAGCACGGACUUCUGUCUGGUGGCUAGUGGCCAACGGAUGAUUAAUACAUCAGAGCGUGCCCCGUCCUGGGGGAUAACGUAGCUAAAGCUACCCUAAUACCGCAUACAAUCUACGGAGGAAAGCGGGGGACCAUACGGCCUCGCGCGAUUGACGGCCGAGGANUUAUAUUACGUACUUGGUGGGGUAAAGGCUCACCAAGCCGACGAUCUAUAGCUGGUCUGCAAGAGAUACCCCCGCGCCGGGACUGACACACGGCCCAUACUCCUACGGGAGGCAGCAGUGGGGAAUUUUGGACAAUGGGCGCAAGCCUGAUCCAGCCAUUCCGCGUGCACGACGAACGCCUUCAGGUUGUAAACUGCUUUUGUACACAACGAAAAGCUCUGGGUUAAUACCCUGGGGUCAUGACGGUACUGUAAGAAUAAUCACCGGCUAACUACGUG
rnacentral:rRNA from 1 species